rnacentral:lncRNA from 1 species
AGGGAAGUGAAGGAGGAGUGUGGCGACACUGCCCUGUCGUCUGAUGAGGAGGGAGAGUAGUAGUGACUGUUGGCCUGCUGCAAUGCGACCCCAUCACUCUGUUGAAGUCUCUCUCCUGGAAGAGCCGUUUAAAUGUGUGCUCCAGCUCAUCUGGGGAAGGGUCAGAAAGGAAUGUGGAACCCUGGCCUCCAUGUUGUUGGCUUAGCCCUGUUGAACCCAAAUGGCCACUUACCCAAUCUCCCCUAUUGGAGUCCACAGCCACGUUGGAUUUACAAGAAAAAUUUUCUUUUGAAGAUCUCAGCUCAUGGCUUCCAAGCUCUCCAGCACGCUCUCCUAGUCCUGCGGUGCCCCUGAGGGUGGUGCCCACGCUUUCCACCACGGAUAUGAAAACUGCAGAUAAAAUAGAACUGGGGGACAGUGACCUGAAGUUAAUGUUAAAGAAACACCAUGAGAAGCGGAAACAUCAACCAGUAAGAUUGCGGUGGGAGUGGCCAUUCGUAAUUUUCAGUGUGAUGCCUCUGAUUUGUCCUGAGACAGUGUUAGUA